UGAGGAACAAUGACAAGGAU
rnacentral:snRNA from 1 species